AUUGAACGCUGGCGGCAGGCCUAACACAUGCAAGUCGAACGAGUGGCGGACGGGUGAGUAAUGUCUGGGAAACUGCAUGAUGGAGGGGGAUAACUACUGGAAACGGUAGCUAAUACCGCAUACCACCAUAUGUGCCCUGAGGGGAUAGGCUUGUUGGUGGGGUAACGGCUUACCAAGGCGACGAUCCCUAGCUGUGCUGAGAGGAUGACCAGCCACACUGGAACUGAGAAACGGUCCAGACGCCUACGGGAGGCAGCAGUGGGGAAUAUUGGACAAUGGGCGCAAGCCUGAUGCAGCCAUGCCGCGUGUAUGAAGAAGGCUUUCGGGGUGUAAAGUACUGUCAGCGGGGAGGCGUUACCCGCAGAAGAAGCACCGGCUAACUCCGUGCCAGCAGCCGCGGUAAUUC
rnacentral:rRNA from 1 species